CAGUGUGGUUUUACCUCACUUUUGGUGACCAGUUCCAGGUCCGGCCAACUACACCACACAAGAGAAGGCAUCGAGGACUGUCUCUCAACUGAACAUCUUCGACGACGGAAUAAAACGAUGAACUAAGUUAAGAAGUUGGGAAAGAAUUGGAUCCACUCUACACUGAUGGGUCGUCUAACACUGUCAAUGGCAGGGCUGGUGCAGCAUACACUGUACUGAGGAAUAAUGCCUUACAACGGGACAAUGAAGGAAAAGCCCGUAUUGAGAACUCCGCUCUUCAACGCAAGUAGAGCUAAAUGCCAUUAUGGCGUUAAGGUUCCUUGAACGAAACGCCAAUUUGCAGUAAUCUGCAGAGAUUCCCAAACGGCGCUACAAAGCCUUAGUCGGGCAGAAAGUCUUGCAAUAGCUGCUGAAAUCAGGAGUUGAGAGUACUAGCCAAUCGAGGAAGAGUCGUCAAAUUUCUGUAGAUUCCCUCCCAUGUUGAAAUCUGUGGAAAUGCACAACAGAUCUUCUGCUUGAAGACGCUGAAAGACCAUAUAGAUUUUUUUUUUAUACCAAAGACU